ACAGAGAACACACACAGGAGAGAAACCUUAUGAAUGUAACAGCUGUGGAAAGUCUUUCUCCCAGAAGACAACCUUUACUGUCCAUCAGAGAACACACACAGGACAGAAACCUUAUGGAUGUACCAAAUGUGGAAAGUCUUUCAAGUGCAAGUCACACCUUACUCAUCAACAGA